rnacentral:rRNA from 1 species
UGGGGAAUAUUGGACAAUGGGCGCAAGCCUGAUCCAGCCAUGCCGCGUGAGUGAUGAAGGCCUUAGGGUUGUAAAGCUCUUUUGUCCGGGACGAUAAUGACGGUACCGGAAGAAUAAGCCCCGGCUAAGUUCGUGCCAGCAGCCGCGGUAAUACGAAGGGGGCUAGCGUUGCUCGGAAUCACUGGGCGUAAAGGGCGCGUAGGCGGCCGUUUAAGUCGGGGGUGAAAGCCUGUGGCUCAACCACAGAAUUGCCUUCGAUACUGGACGGCUUGAGUAUGGUAGAGGUUGGUGGAACUGCGAGUGUAGAGGUGAAAUUCGUAGAUAUUCGCAAGAACACCGGUGGCGAAGGCGGCCAACUGGACCAUUACUGACGCUGAGGCGCGAAAGCGUGGGGAGCAAACAGG